CUAGUCUUUGAACCUCACAGUAGCAUCCCACAGUUAGUACAAACAGUGGUGUAGCUCUGUCUAAUGCACCAGCAGUCCCUUUGAUUGAAGAGUUUUUUCCCCUUGGUAAUUCAUCUCAAUUAACAGAAAAAUGGUACUCGCUUGACAGAACUUUGAAUUCUAGUUCUAUACAAAUUCUACAAAAGAAUGUCCCGUUUCCCAGUCCAAGAAAGAUGCCUAUUCUUCGACUAAUCAUGUUACAAAAAGAGAGCCUGAAUGUCUCCUCUGGAUGCUGUGGGCAAGUGUGUGUGGUCUGUGAGGGAAGUGUUAUCAAGAGCUGGUAAACAUCGUCUUGGCAGACCCCACACAGGAGAGAGCCAGGAAUGAUUAAAUGAGAGAACAGCAUAUGCGACAUGAUUUGCACAGUUGAGUCACUUUCCACAGGCUCCCAGGGCUCCAGAAAAAUCCGACAGCCAUUCUCAAAUUAGCCAUCUGCCUCUGUUUUCUGUUACUUCUUCCAGUAAAGAGCCAGGGGGAGGGAGGGAGAGAUAGUAAUAUCAUAUGAAUGUUUGCCUAGAAGCCUGAGCAUGUGUCACCAUAGUGUAGUCCAUCAAAGAACUUGAACAAGCUGGCAAUGACCCGAUUGUGAAGGGUUCAGUCUUAAAUUACACUUGGGUCUAAUACCAGCUUAUGAGGUAGUAGCCUGUUGUCUAUAAAGCCAGUUAUCUAACAUGGCUAAUCUUCAGUUUCCUUAUCAGUAAAUGGAGAUGAUGAGUGAUGGUGUCAUAGAGGGGAGAUGGGUGUGUGUGAGAUUCAGUAUCUGUUCCAUAGGGUCACUCUGAGGGUGAGGCAUGAUGACAUUUGGAAGUACUCUUACAGGCUGACAUAUACUCAUUAGUAGAUAGUAGCUGUUUGGGGCAGUAAUGCUAGAAUAGUAGAGAUAACUGAGGUAGGUUUAGUUUAGAGAGAGAUGUUUCUUUUUUUGUUGUUUUGUUCUUUGUGUGUAAUGGAUAUUUGAAAAGUAUAUUAGUUUUAAACUUUUUUUUUUUUUUUUGUAAACUGUAUUCCUACCUUUUUAUGUACUUACUACUGAAUAUUCUAAGUGGCACUCAAAGCUAUUUAAUAGGGAGGUACAUUUCUGAGAGUGAUUAUUGUAUAAAAGAUGAGUGGUUUCUAGUAUCUUCUUGAUCUGCUCUGGGCCUUUCAAAAUAUAGUUUUAAGGGGGCUGGGAAUACAGCUCAGUGGUAAAGCACUUGCUUAAUAUAGGCAAGGACCUAGAUUCAAUUCCCAACCCUGUGAAAAAAAUUCAAUGCAGCAUUGUAUGUUUAUACGUGCCAUUACUUAUCUUUAUUUUAUUUUUA
rnacentral:lncRNA from 1 species